GACACUACUAUAAGCAGAGUUUUCAUAUUGCAUUGGUUUUUUUUACAAAACCAAAAUUUACUUUGUCCUCAAGUUGUAAAAUGUGUGCAGAAGUUAAAAUCCUUAAGCAUAAAAAAGAGAUUAUAGCACCUCCUGCAGGGGAGGCAGGAUAAUUACAUCCUUUUUUGUUUUUAUAGAACAGACGAUUUUGCAUACUUUUCCUCACGGGCCCAGUUUCAUUAGUGCUGAAGAACUUAAGAGUCAGAGUGAGUGAAUAAACACAGCUGUAUUUCAGGUCAACAUGGUCAACCAGUCAAUGUCAUACAAGUGUGAAUAAUCUGACCACAUGGAUUAUUCUAUUAAAACCGUUAGUUUAAACAUUCAUGACAGGUGACUCUCUUAUUACGUCAACAGUGUUAUUUUUGUGGUGUACACAAACAUUCUCACAACAUUGACAAUGACAACAACAAUGAUUUGGAUCAGUAAAAAGUAAAAAAAAAGUGUUAAAAAGAUAGUUGAUAAUUAUCGUCGUGUUAACAAAAUAUACACAGACAUACUUAAAUCUUAGUCUCUACAUUUUACAGUGUAAAUCUGCUCUCUUUUGGUUAUAGUCGUUACUUUCAGUGAUAGUUAACUGUGGUAUUCCAUAUAAUAUCUACGUUAUUCAUCUACCUAUAGUUAUAGCUAUUUUUUUUGUGUGAAAAGUGUACACUAUCAUUACACCCCAGUCAAAACUGAAAGUCACGUUCAGUGCCUGACGGUGCCGUAUAGGGAAAGUGCGCGAGUCCUGUCGACCAAUCACAAACCAGCUCUGCUCUGUCAGCAUUAUAUACAUUUUCGUACGUAGAACCAUGCAGACGGAGCAGGCACACAACACCAGCAUCACUAUCAUUUGUCGACUGCAUGAAAUGUGGGAAACAAAGUCCACAGUUUGUGCUACACGCAGCAGUGUGGUCCAUGGACCGGAAGUGGUGUAUGGGACGAAAGGUAACGAAAAAACGGACUUGGAAUCGGAAACAGCCCACAGAAUUAGUUAUCUGAAAUCACAAAGCAGCCAAACUUUUAAAUGUUAUGUACGUUUUACCAUAAUAAUGUACGUAAUUACAAAUGUAUAUAUUUGUUUUAUUAUAUUAAACUUGUAGGAUUUUGAGUGUUUCAUGGGUAAGUGCCUCCAGGGACAACCAUGAAAAAAAGUUCACAAUAUCUUAAAACUGUAAUUCAUUAGAAAAAGCUUAGGACGUUAAAGUAUGUGUAAAUUGCUGUUUUGACGUCAUCUCUGUGAUUUAUUCCCCCCCCCCUGCAGGUGAUUAAGGUCUAAAUGCGUUGCAGCAGCUGGUCAGCAGAGGGCGCUGUGUGUAUAAGGUAUCGAUGAUCAACACCUGGGGCUAUUAGAGUGAGACGUCCCAGUGCAGCGGGAGUUCAGAGAAACAAAAGAUGCUAAAUGAAUGCUACUCUGUCGGUUAAUGUUUCUCAGAAUUAAAGAAGUUUAAAAUGCUACACGGAGGACGGCCACCGUUUCGUUCUUCAAGACAAGUUGGACAGGAUUCACACUACUGCGUGUAGCUUCAGGUCACGUGACGAUCCAUGUCAGACAAUUUAUUCUUCUUUGUCCUGGAAGGACGAGCGCAGGAGAAACAAUCGAGCGUCUGACUGCUGCGGAUUCUCAGUGGAGAGGACAAUGAUUUUUUUUUUCCUCCAUUUUUAUCUGCGUCAUCUGUGAAGCUGCAGUAUGUGCUGAAAACGAUUAAAACCGAGGGGGAAAAAAUGCAAGUUGAGCUCAGUGACUCAUGUGAAAAGGCUGAGACUGGUGAUGGACGGCCCGGUGAAGACGAUGGUGUUCUUCCCAGAGAUGUUCUGACACAGCUGUUUGGCCACCAGACUGUGAAGUUGAGUCUUGUUCUUCAAGGUGGCCAGAGUCUCCGAGCCCUGGCCUUCCUUCAGGUGCACUGCGAUCUGUGGGGUCAGAGGUCAAGCAGAGAAAACACCCCACAGAUAUUUAAAUAGAAUUACUUCAUGUAAGCAAUAUCUUCCAAAACAAAAUCUAAAUACAUAAAUAGUGCAUCAAAUUUAUUCCAAAAAUAUUUUCCUUUGGUUUAAAGUAUUGAUGAUGUCACAGUUCCUAAACUCAAAUGUAAAAUGUGUAACAUCCCCCUGACCCUUACCUGGUGACUGCUGGGAUAUCUGAGCCAGUAUUUAACCAGCAAACACAGGUUAAUUCUUCAUGUUGUUGCUCAGAGGCUGAAUGUUGUCAACGUGACCAGUCUGAACAUCAAAUGUGUGUAUCAUUCAGUCUGUCUCUGUGUGUGUGUGUGUGCUUCUGUACCUAAUGGAAUCCCAUGGAUUCACUCCAUUAACUCGUUAAAUUUCUUCUUUUUUUUUCUCUCCCUCUCGAGAAAAAGGCCUGAGAGCAGACACACAGCAGAGCAGAGCAGCCAAAUGACCCCAGUCAGCGUGAAUGUUAAUGUUCAUUUAAUAAACACGGAGAUGAUGAUGGAAAAUUGAUUCAACUGUGACCGAGUCUGUGGAGCUGCUAAUUUAACAUCUUCCUGUUUAAAAUGGCAAAUUUUGAGAAGUGACUAUAAAUAAGGAAUUACAACAAUGCCGACUGUUGAGUCAUGACUACAACCUGCACCUACACGUGCUCACCCUCUGCUCUCUUUCUGUACAGGUGGUAAUAAACACGGGAUCCUCGUCUAUUAAAGGCUCGUGGAGAACCUGGAAUCACAUGUCUGAAGGUGCAGCUGAACGACUGCUGCAGUGAGUCCAGGAACGGCUGGAUCUUGUACAGGCCCUGGUUGCUUCCCUGUGACGGCCUGAAGGCCACGAUGUGGAAAUACUUCAGGAUCUUCUCGAAGCGCGCCUGGC